rnacentral:rRNA from 1 species
CCUGCGGGAGGCUGCAGUAAGGAAUAUUGGUCAAUGGACGAAAGUCUGAACCAGCCAUGCCGCGUGGAGGAUGAAGGUCCUCUGGAUUGUAAACUUCUUUUAUAUGGGACGAAAAAAGGCUUUUCUAAGUCGUCUGACGGUACCAUAUGAAUAAGCACCGGCUAACUCCGUGCCAGCAGCCGCGGUAAUACGGAGGGUGCAAGCGUUAUCCGGAUUCACUGGGUUUAAAGGGUGCUUAGGUGUGAUUGUUGAAAUCCCCGAGCUUAACUUGGGAACUGCCAUUGAUACUAUCAGUCUUGAAUACCGUGGAGGUCAGCGGAAUAUGUCAUGUAGCGGUGAAAUGCUUAGAUAUGACAUAGAACACCAAUUGCGAAGGCAGCUGGCUACCCGAAUAUUGACACUGAGGCACGAAAGCGUGGGGAUCAAACAGGAUUAGAUACCCGAGUAGUC